rnacentral:tRNA from 1 species
GCAUUAGUGGUUCACUGGUAUAAUUCUCGCCUGCAACGCGGGAGACCCUGGUCCGGCUCCUGGCAAUUGCA